rnacentral:lncRNA from 1 species
UUGUUGUAUCUUCUCCCAAAGUUUGUUUGAAUCCUCAUUGCUACCUUCAUCCCUGUCAACUUUUCUAUAAGAUGUAUCAUGCUCUUGGGUGACAUAUGAGCUUCUCUCACUAUCUUUACUCAAGUACCUCCCCUUGUCUUCCAUGUUAAACUUCUUUCUUACGUCUUUGGCCCUAUUAAUUUUUAUCUCCUUAUUCAGACACUGAGUAUUCACCUGCUGGUUUGCUUUCCUAUUAUCCAGAUUGUCAGGGUUAGUUUCCCUAAUAACUAGAGGCACAUUGUAAUGAGGAGAAUUUUUAUUGUAAUCCCAAAUGUUCAACUUAUGGGAGAUGUUGUUAUCAUAAUUCCCUCGGCUAUUGACAUAGCCACUACCACUGCCAUAUUUCCCUUCUCAACCAUCCACUAAGGUAAUUCUUUGAUCUUCUUCUUUAAUGUUGCGAAGAUGAUUAUUUAUAAAGGUGUUUACCAUAAAUUGUAUUUGAUUAUAGGCAUGUAUGUUAUAUUGGCUAACCCUCCCCCCCUGUUUUCCAAUGGUACGCCUUCCUUCUCCCUUUAUCGACUUUUCUAUAUUUGUUGUUCAUAUUAUCGCCUCCAUAGUUGAUAUAAAGGUGUUGAUUGUAGGAAUUCUACCAGAUUUUAUCAGUACUCGCCAUUUUGUUCCUACCCUCGUUGAAGGUAAUCUCUUUGGGCUUUUUGAUUAGGUUUUCCUCCUUGUUAUUCUUAUUAUUCUGAUUAAUGCCUUUAUUCUUCUUAGUAGAAUUUUGCCGGUAAACAGUGUUAUCCAACUUGGAAAUAUUGUCUUGGACUUGAUUCUGUCUAGUGUUAUGAUUGCUACCAUUAUUCCUACUAUUGUCCGCUUUCAAGUGAUACCUUUUCAUAUUAUUAUCUUGACAUUUGUUAAUUUGUUGCUUGUGUAUAGUAUCAUGUUGAGUGUUGCUAUGAUUGUGAUUUAAUCUUGUUC